rnacentral:rRNA from 1 species
GGUGGGGAGCGGCGAACGGGUGAGUAACACGUUGGCAUCUGCCCCAGACUCAGGGAUAACCCGCCGAAAGGCGCGGUCAAUACCGGAUAGUCCUGCAAAGGUAAAGCUUUUUGCGGUUUGGGAGGAGCCUGCGGCGUAUCAGCUUGUUGGUGAGGUAAUAGCUCACCAAGGCCAUGACGCGUAGCUGGUCUGAGAGGACGACCAGUCACAAUGGGACUGAGACACGGCCCAUACUCCUACGGGAGGCAGCAGUAAGGAAUCUUCCACAAUGGGCGAAAGCCUGAUGGAGCAAUACCGCGUGAACGAUGAAGGUCUAACGAUCGUAAAGUUCUUUUCUGGGGGAAGAAUUAUGACGGUACCCUAGGAAUAAGCACCGGCUAACUCCGUGCCAGCAGCCGCGGUAAUACGGAGGGUGCAAGCGUUACCCGGAAUCAUUGGGCGUAAAGCGUCCGCAGGUGGUUAAUUAAGUCGGAUAUUAAAUCUCGGGGCCCAACCUCGAGGCCGUGUCCGAAACUGAUUAACUAGAGACUUUCAGGGGCAAGCGGAAUUCUGUGUGUAGGGGUAAAAUCCGUAGAUACACAGAGGAACACCAAAAGCGAAGGCAGCUUGCUGGGAAAGUUCUGACACUCAUGGACGAAAGCGUAGGGAGCGAACGGGAUUAGAUACCCCGGUAGUCUACGCCGUAAACGAUGGAUACUAGUUGUUGGAGGGCUCGACCCCUUCAGUGACGACGCUAACGCAUUAAGUAUCCCGCCUGUGAAGUACGGUCGCAAGAUUAAAACAUAAAGGAAUAGACGGGGACCCACACAAGCGGUGGAGCAUCUGGCUUAAUUCGAUAAUGAGCGAGGAACCUUACCUAGGCUUGACAUCUCGGGAAUUCUUUAGAAAUAGAGAAGUGCCUUCUGGAACCCGAUGACAGGUGCUGCAUGGUUGUCGUCAGCUCGUGCCUUGAGGUGUUCGGUUAAGUCCGUAAACGAGCGCAACCCAUGUCCUGUGUUGUUUUUUCACAGGAGACUGCCUAUUCAAAGUAGGAGGAAGGUAUGGAUGACGUCAAAUCAGCAUGGCCCUUAUGUCUAGGGCUGCACAGGUGCUACAAUGGACGGUACAAUGGGUAGCAAUGGAGUAAUCCGGAGCCAAUCCCAAAAAACCGUUCUAAGUUCGAAUUGAGGGCUGCAAUUUGCCCUCAUGAAGUUGGAAUCGCUAGUAAACGCGGAUCAGCAAUGGCGCGUUGAAUAUGUUCCUGGGUCUUGUACUCACCGCCCGUCAAGUGAUGGAAGGUGGGGGCGCCCGAAGUACCCUUAGCUUUUAGCGGGGUCCUAAGGCGAAACCACUGACUGGCACUAAGUCGUAACAAGGUA